rnacentral:tRNA from 1 species
AUAGCUUAGUGGUAAAGCGCCUGGCUUCCGCACCCAGUUGUCUUAGGUUCGAAUCCCGAU